UACGUAGGGGGCUAGCGUUGCUCGGAAUCACUGGGCGUAAAGCGCACGUAGGCGGAUUUCUAAGUCAGGGGUGAAAUCCUGGAGCUCAACUCCAGAACUGCCUUUGAUACUGGCAAUCUCGAGUCCGGAAGAGGUUGGUGGAACAGCUAGUGUAGAGGUGAAAUUCGUAGAUAUUAGCUAGAACACCAGUGGCGAAGGCGGCCAACUGGUCCGGUACUGACGCUGAGGUGCGAAAGCGUGGGGAGCAAACAGG
rnacentral:rRNA from 1 species